CAGGCGGCGCCGGACCGGAAAGCGAAGGCCGCGGCCUGGGAGCCGUCAGGAGCACUGCCAUAUACCCUCUGUCCCGCUAAUGGCACCGGGCAGCACCUGCAGUGUGGGGAUGUAGGGGCAUACUGCUCACCACAUCAGCAAGGUAACGCUGCCUGGAUCAUCAGAAAGCAACAUUUUGGAGCUUGCAAACACUUGAGUUAAGGAAUCUUGUCUUGGGAAACCUGCUGCUGAGUUAGCCCUCAAAAAACCCGAGCGCUAGAAGGAAGGAUACUCCAGACCGAGCAAUUGGGCCACUGGGCUACCAGCACUUAGAUAACAUAUUCAGAGGCACUGAGGCAGAACAGAGCCUACCUGAGGAGGCUGAAAAUGACCCAGAUUCAUCAGUGCCUUACUGAGAAGAUCAAGUUCCUGCAAUGACUAAAAUGCUCAUCUGGUUUUCAGCGACUCAUUUUUUGAUGUUGAGGAACAUGUGUAGGUCUUCAACACCACAACACAGGUUGGAAAGGCUUUAGAAACUGCCACAAAAAACAUUGUGUUACCAAGAAAGGUUUUAUUCUUUUCUUUGCCAGUAGCUUUGUUAAUUGCACCAAAAAAAAAUAAUCUUUGUUUUGCCAUUUAAACAUUUUUCACACAUCCUAUUCUGAAUGACGUUAAUUAAAAACAAGGCAAAAUAAAAUUCACAACCUUAAUUAACUAGAUAGGAUCUAUCGUUGAGGAAAAAAGAAACUGCUUUUCUUACAAGCUUUGCACAAGUGUCACAUUUUUCUCUUUAAAAAGGAGGGAGCCAAAAAAAGGCAAAUUGCUAAAACAGAAAUCCUCAUAAAAAGGAACUUUACAGAA